rnacentral:rRNA from 1 species
CCUACGGGAGGCUGCAGUGGGGAAUUUUGGGCAAUGGGCGCAAGCCUGACGCAGCAACGCCGCGUGAGGGAAGAAGGCUUUCGGGUUGUAAACUUCUUUUCUCAGGGACGAAGCAAGUGUCGGUACAUGAGGAAUACGCCACGGCUAACUACGUGCCAGCCGCCGCGGUAAUACGUAGGUGGCACGCGUUAUCCGGAUUUACUGGGGGUAAAGGGCGUGUAGGCGGGCAAGCAAGUCAGAUGUGAACACCAUGGGCUCAACCUGGGGCAUGCAUUGGAAACUGUUGUACUUGAGUACUGGAGAGGCAGACGGAAUUCCUAGUGUAGCGGUGAAAUGCGUAGAUAUUAGGAGGAACACCAGUGGCGAAGGCGAUCUGCUGGACAGCAACUGACGCUGAGGCGCGAAAGCGUGGGUAGCAAACAGGAUUAGAUACCCUAGUAGUC